CCUACGGGAGGCAGCAGUGGGGAAUAUUGCGCAAUGGGCGAAAGCCUGACGCAGCGACGCCGCGUGAGGGAUGAAGGUCUUCGGAUCGUAAACCUCUGUCAGCAGGGAAGAACGGUCGCUGUGCUAAUCAGCAGUGAAUUGACGGUACCUGCAAAGGAAGCCACGGCUAACUCCGUGCCAGCCGCCGCGGUAAUACGGAGGGUGCGAGCGUUAAUCGGAAUUACUGGGCGUAAAGCGCGCGUAGGCGGUAUGUCAAGUCAAGGGUGAAAUCCCCGCGCUCAACGUGGGAACUGCCUUUGAAACUGGCAAACUGGAGUGUGUGAGAGGAUAGUGGAAUUCCAGGUGUAGGAGUGAAAUCCGUAGAUAUCUGGAGGAACAUCAGUGGCGAAGGCGACUAUCUGGCACAUAACUGACGCUGAGGAGCGAAAGCGUGGGUAGCAAACAGGAUUAGAUACCCUUGUAGUC
rnacentral:rRNA from 1 species